UCUACUUUCUCUAUGAAUUUGACUCCUCUUGGUGUCUCAUAACUAGUCUGAAGAUUAGAGAUGCCUGCCAAGUCACUGACUCCUCCCAUCAAGACAUAGGGCCUUCAUUGUUUCCCCUUGAGAGACUCGCAGCUACCAUGCCUGACUCUCGGUCCUCGCACCUUUGGAGCCCUGAGCUGAAUGGAAGGAGCCUCACUGCCCAGAGGCUGCCAUGCUGAAGAGGCCACAUGUGGGAGCUCUGGUCACCAGCUUCAGCUGAGCUCAGCCCUCCAGCCAGCCAUCCCUGCCAGGGCACAAGAUAUGUGCGUGAAGCUGUCUUAGAUCUUCCAGUCCAGCCCAUUCACCAACUGAAUGCCACCAAGUGACCUCAGUCGAUGAUGCACAGAACAAAAGAAUGACCCAAACGAACUCUGUUGGAAUUCCUGAACCCCAAAACCAGAGACAAUAAAAUGGUGGUUGUUUAAGCCACUAAGUUUCAGGUCGUUUGUCACACAGUUGUAGACAAUCAGAGCAUCCACUGUGCAAAUAUUCGAAGGUAACUUUUCUUCCAGAAUGAACCUGUCCACCCCUCUGAACUGUUGUUCACGAGAUGGGGUUUUGAGUCUUAGGACCAUUGGGAUCACCCAUCUCCUGGACAUUUGAAGCCUGACAUGAAGACAAACCUCAGGAUGGUCUGGCCCACAGUGCCAGUUAGGACUUCAUCCAGAAUGAUUUCACUAAAAAAGAAAUGAUUCACGCACAACAGCUUCAGGGAUGGCUGGGUCCAGGUGCUCCAGUGAGCGUGCUGGAAUGGGGAGGGACACAGACAUCAAUCCGAGAAUCACACACGUUCCUACAUAUUACAGACAUGGAAAGUGCCAGGAAGGAGAAGGACAGGAUGUUUACCAGCAGGUUCCAUGGACAUCCUGACCGAGCACGGGGUUCAGGACGGGUUCCCGAGGAAGUGACGUUUGAGACAUUGAAGACAUUUCCACAGGACCUUACAAUACAUGCUACGAGAACAGCCUGUCCUCGCCCGCCUCCUCACUUAAGUCCCUGCUGCAGCAACUGGCAUUCCCUAAAGCUUCCCGGAAACUUCCAGCAACCAAAGCUUGCUGACUCCUCUAAUGACACACUCUGGGCAUUCCAAGGAUGAUGAUCUAAGAUCCGUUACCCAGCGGCCAGACCCACAGGGUGAAGCAGGGUGUGCCCCCUCAGAGAGGAAAUUGGAUGCUACCUCCACUCUUCCCGUCCGCUACACGGGGAUAGAAAGUUCUUGUGGGCUUUUCCCUUCCAAAUGUUCCAGGGCAAUGCCAACUUUCCAACUGCAGGCUGGAAUACAACUCCUUGAAUCUCACCCUCCUUACCUCACUGGCCCACCUCCUUCCAGGCUGGACUGACUUUCCCCCUCUCUGCUCCCCCGUCCCCGAAGGCAACCUCCAUCCUAGCCAGG